AUGGCAGCACGUCAGCUUUCCUAUGACGCCAACGGACAUGAGCUAGAAGGCCCAUCUACAUGUCUUUCACCUACCAUAAAAAAGUUGUACUCGGAAACAUGUUCAAAAUUUAGCUUGGCACUUCAUGCAGCGAAACAUUGUGAGGAGAAAAUGAGAUAUUUUCACAAGGUUGUUGGUGAUGCCUUCACGCAAUUGGAACAGAUGGGUGCCAUUAGUGAGCAAAGUAAAGUUCAAGAAUUUGAAUCCUUCGUCGAAACAUCAUUCCCAAGUGUGAUCAGUAUUCAUCCACCAGAUGUAGCAAACACAAAAGGGAGUGGUAAGAGAUUGAAAAGGGGUUCAGAGCAAACAGUGAACCAAAAGAAGAAGAGGGCAAAUAGCAUCCAAAAGGUUCCUGAUAAGUAG
rnacentral:rRNA from 1 species